GCCUUNGGGUCUGGUAUAACCCCGGGAAACUGGGGAUAAUUCCGGAUAACGCACAUAUGCUGGAAUGCUUUAUGCGUAAAAUGGAUUCGUCUGCCCAAGGAUGGGUCUGCGGCCUAUCAGGUAGUAGUGGGUGUAAUGUACCUACUAGCCAACAACGGGUACGGGUUGUGAGAGCAAGAGCCCGGAGAUGGAUUCUGAGACAUGAAUCCAGGCCCUACGGGGCGCAGCAGGCGCGAAAACUUUACAAUGCGGGAAACCGUGAUAAGGGACACCGAGUGCCAGCAUCAUAUGCUGGCUGUCCAGGUGUGUAAACUACACCUGUUAGCAAGGGCCGGGCAAGACCGGUGCCAGCCGCCGCGGUAACACCGGCGGCCCGAGUGGUGAUCGUGAUUAUUGGGUCUAAAGGGUCCGUAGCCGGUUUGGUCAGUCCUCCGGGAAAUCUGAUAGCUCAACUAUUAGGCUUUCGGGGGAUACUGCCAGGCUUGGAACCGGGAGAGGUAAGAGGUACUACAGGGGUAGGAGUGAAAUCUUGUAAUCCCUGUGGGACCACCUGUGGCGAAGGCGUCUUACCAGAACGGGUUCGACGGUGAGGGACGAAAGCUGGGGGCACGAACCGGAUUAGAUACCCGGGUAGUCCCAGCCGUAAACGAUGCUCGCUAGGUGUCAGGCAUGGCGCGACCGUGUCUGGUGCCGCAGGGAAGCCGUGAAGCGAGCCA
rnacentral:rRNA from 1 species